GAUGAACGCUAGCGGCAGGCUUAACACAUGCAAGUCGAGGGGUAUAGGUUUUCGGACCUAGAGACCGGCGCACGGGUGCGUAACGCGUAUGCAAUCUACCUUUCACAGAGGGAUAGCCCAGAGAAAUUUGGAUUAAUACCUCAUAGUAUAGCAGUUUCGCAUGAAACCACUAUUAAAGUAUCAACGGUGAAAGAUGAGCAUGCGUCCCAUUAGCUAGAUGGUAAGGUAACGGCUUACCAUGGCUACGAUGGGUAGGGGUCCUGAGAGGGAGAACCCCCACCCUGGUACUGAGACACGGACCAGACUCCUACGGGAGGCAGCAGUGAGGAAUAUUGGUCAAUGGACGCAAGUCUGAACCAGCCAUGCCGCGUGCAGGAUGACGGUCCUAUGGAUUGUAAACUGCUUUUGUACGAGAAGAAACAACAUUACGUGUAAUGUCUUGACGGUAUCGUAAGAAUAAGGAUCGGCUAACUCCGUGCCAGCCGCCGCCGUAACAC
rnacentral:rRNA from 1 species